rnacentral:rRNA from 1 species
AACGAACGCUGGCGGCAUGCCUAACACAUGCAAGUCGAACGAGACCUUCGGGUCUAGUGGCGCAUGGGUGCGUAACGCGUGGGAACCUGCCCUUAGGUUCGGAAUAACUCUCCGAAAGGGGUGCUAAUACCGGAUAAUGUCUUAGGACCAAAGAUUUAUUGCCUUUGGAUGGGCCCGCGUUGGAUUAGCUAGUUGGUAGGGUAAAAGCCUACCAAGGCGACGAUCCAUAGCUGGUCUGGGAGGAUGAUCAGCCACACUGGGACUGAGACACGGCCCAGACUCCUACGGGAGGCAGCAGUGGGGAAUAUUGGACAAUGGGCGAAGGCCUGAUCCAGCAAUGCCGCGUGAGUGAUGAAGGCCUUAGGGUUGUAAAGCUCUUUUACCCGGGAUGAUAAUGACAGUACCGGGAGAAUAAGCUCCGGCUAACUCCGUG